UACAGAGGGGGCAAGCGUUAUUCGGAAUUAUUGGGCGUAAAGGGCGCGUAGGCGGCCUUGCAAGUGGAAGGUGAAAUCCCUCGGCUUAACCGAGGAACUGCCUUCCAGACUGCGAGGCUUGAGACCGGGAGAGGUGAGUGGAAUUCCCAGUGUAGCGGUGAAAUGCGUAGAUAUUGGGAGGAACACCAGUGGCGGAGGCGGCUCACUGGACCGGUACUGACGCUGAUGCGCGAAAGCGUGGGGAGCAAACGGG
rnacentral:rRNA from 1 species